UUGACCCGUUUACAGGCUCGAAACGCCGGUCUCAGUGGCUAUUGAGUUACCCACCAAGUUACCCCGGUUAGAGCUGUUUGGGGUGGCUCACGUUAUUGCGGCAAACUUUGGAGAUGACGGCUGAGUCCUCCGGGCGAACAUGUCAAGCCGAUUGUAAAUGCUGUUAUUUCCACAUCCUUCAGGGACACCAGUCCCUACGAAGACCUUGGGCGAUUUUGAAGUGCGGGCACCUCGAUUCCCCGAAUCUGUAGUGUGGCUGGUAUCGGUGUUCCCCUGGUUUAACUAGCCUGUUUGGCACAACAAAUGAGACCCAAGUGCUCAUAGAACAUUCCAAAGAGUCAACAGAGAGAAGUGGAAAGUAUUAGAAACAUGAUUGUGUUUGCAAAGGGAGACAUAAACAUGGGGAAAUUGAGGCAGAGAAGCCAAGACAUGCGCUAAAGGUCCAUGCAGGCUAUGAAUGGAGCUGGAAUGUAAACGCAGGCCAUGUGACUCCAGAGCCCAUGUUCUUGAACCCUUAGAAAGACAGCAGCAACACACCUGGUGCAGCAGCUGCUUAGUUGGAGUGGCUGACAAGGUUGGCAGAGGAUCCCGUUCCUCCCGUGGAGUGGCUGCCAUGAUACUGCCUGCACUGAAGCUGCUCCUAUUUCUGAAAUAUGUAUUGUUAUUUUUUUCCCUCCAUGUUGAACAUUAUACUCUUCUGUUCUUUCGCAUUCUCUUCUUCCCUUCCAGAUGACUUCUAGGGUUUUUGUGAUUCUGUAAUUCUAAAGGAGAAAGGAUAAUAAGAAUUGUGAGGCCGGGCGCGGUGGCUCACACCUGUAAUCACAGCGCUUUGGGAGGCCAAGGCGGGCGGAUCACUAGGUCAGGAGAUGGAGACCAUCCUGGCUAACACGGUGAAGCCCCGUCUCUACUAAAAAUACAAAAAAUUAGCGGGGCGUGGUGGCGGGCGCCUGUAGUCCCAGCUACUCGGGAGGCUGAGGCAGGAGAAUGGCGUGAACCCGGGAAGCGGAGCUUGCAGUGAGCUGAGAUGGCGCCACUGCACUCCGGCCUGGGCGAAGAGGGAGACUCCAUCUUAAAAAAUUUUUUUAAAAAUUACAAAAAAUUAGCUGGGCGCGGUGGCGGGCGCCUAUAGUCCCAGCUACUCGGGAGGCUGAGGCAGGAGAAUGACGUGAACCCGGGAGGCGGAGCUUGCAGUGAGCCAAAAUCGCACCACUGCACUCCAGCCUGGGCGGCAGAGCGAGACUCCGUCUCAAAAAAAAAAAAGAAUUGUGAUGUGAGUGUCCAAAAAAAACCUGAUUUCCAAUCCUACACACAUAGCUGUUUCCUAGAUACUCCAGAAAAAAUUGUGACUUUCCGGAUACCUAGUUUCCCUCCCUCCCUCCCUCCCUCCCUUCUUCCCUCCCUCCCUCCCUCCCUCCCUCCCUUCCUUCCUUCCUUCCUUCCUCCCUCCCUCCCUUCCUCUCUCUUUCCCUUUCCUUUUCCUUUUCCCUUUCCCUUUCCCUUCCAUUCCCUUCCCCGCUUUUUAUUUCUGGAUACCUGGUGUUCUAUCAGAAUGAGAUCUACACAAGUAUUAUCCUAGCAACACAGGAUCCCACCUACUCAACACACCUUUAAAAAACUCCUAGAAUUGGCUGGGCGCGGUUGCUCACACCUGUAAUCCCAGCACUUUGGGAGGCCGAGGCAGGCAGAUCACGAAGUCAGGAGAUCGAGACCAUCCUGGCCAACAUGGUGAAACCCCGUCUCUGCUAAAAUACAAAAAAUUAGCGGGGCGUAGUAGUACGCGCCUAUAGUCCCAGCUACUCCGGAGCCUGAGGCAGGGGAAUUCCUUGAACUUGGGAGGCGGAGGUUGCAGUGAGCCGAGAUUGCGCCACUGGACUCCAGCCUGGAAACAGAGCGAGACACCGUCACAAACAAACAAACAAACACCCUAGAACUGUACAUUUUUUUUUUAAGUUAGCCAACUUUCUGUGGGCAAUUACAUAAUGUGAGCAGGCAUUAUAUGACUUUGUGCUUUACAUUCAAAGAAAGUUCAAAGCUUUUCUUCUUUUGGAGUGUUUUCCUUUUCCCCCAAGGGAUCUGGGUAAUAUUGAUGUGUUUAGUGUAUUCAAAUCCUAGAAAAGCACAUAUAUAAAAAUGUAAGUUUCUUUUAAUUAAACCUUCUUUCUUUUUUUGUUUUUUCUUAGUACUGUUCAUCAAAAAAAUGGCCAGGUCUGGACUUAAGGGAAUCUUAUUCAAAGUUUUGGGAGAUUUGAAAAGAUAUGUCCCCGUUGAAAUAGAGUCUUGUUUUUUCUUCUAGGAGAGAAUGAUUUCCAGGAAGAGCGGAACACAUAUGGAAGGCCUUAGCUUAUCUUUAGCGCCUCAUACACCCGUUCUGGACUUCAGAAAGGCCAGUGAGUGGGAUUAGGCCUCAGAGAUAGGAUGUCAGUCCCAGUGAGGGAUGGCCUAGAGCAUUCUUUAAUUCUUUCCUUUGGGUCACACAUAAGAAACAAUUUUCCAGCACUGAUGAGUGUUAUUAACAAUGAGAUGGGAUAGAAUUUUGUUUUCCCUAUGGCUGUGCUUCAAGAAUAGAAAAGCUGUCUUUUCUCUGGAAUGAUUGAAUGAAGCUCUGGGGAGGGAAAGGUCGAUUGGCAGAUCUCUUAAAGGAAGCUUCUCCUUCUAGGCACUAUUCCAAGGCUUAAUAUUUUAACUCCCUAUAUUAACCUAGUUCAACUAAACAGUGAUCUGAGUAAUUUUAUUUUUAUUAAAGCUCAGAUCAAAAUGCCAUUAACAUUGAUUGAGAAAAUCAAAGGAAUCUUUGACGUGAGUGGUUAAAUUACUGAAUUAUUUCAGUCCCAUACCCUCACAGCAUGAGUACCUGAUCUGAUAGACUUCUUUGGAAUUCCUUUUUUGUUUGAGACAGAGUCUUGCUCUGUCGCCCAGGCUGGAGUGCAGCGGUGUGAUCUCAACCAUUGCAACCUCCACCUCCCAGGUUCAAGUGAUUCUCAUGCCUCAGCCUCCUGAGUAGCUGGGAUUACAGAUGUGCACCACCAUGCCUGGCUAAUUAUUUUGUAUCUUUAGUAGAGAUGAAGUUUUGCCAUGUGGGCCAGGCUGUUCUCAAACUACUGGCCUCAAGUGAUCUGCCCGCCUCGGCCUCCCAAACUGCUGGGAUUACAGGCGUGAGGCACCGUGCCUGGCUGGGAUUCCAUAAUAAAUCCCUGUGUGUCUAUUUCUUUUUUCAAAUAUAAUUUUCUUCAUUUCCAAACAUCAUCUUUAAGACUCCAAGGAUUUUUCCAGGCACAGUGGCUCAUGCCUGUAAUCCCACUGCUUGGAGAGGCCAAGGUGGAAGUUCAUUUGAGGCCAGGAGUUCGAGACCAGGUGGGCAACAUAGUGAAACCUUGUUUCUACAACAUAAAAUAAAAUAAAAUAAAAUAAAAUAAAAUAAAAUAAAAUAAAACCCUAAGGAAAUAAUGGUGCCUCACUACCUCUCAAAGCUUUUGACCUUCGAGUCAGAAAAUAAAUUAUUUUUAGGAAAGGCAUCUCAACCUUAUUUACAAAUGAACUAUUUGUCAAGAGCAACCUCUAUAAGGAUAAUAGGACUUCCUGGUUUGAAAUGCAGCAUGAACAAUUCUCAGAGGCUCCUGAAAGACUAAGAAUGAGGUUUCUUGAUCCGCCUUCCCUCGGCAUCUUCUCUCACUCUCCUCCCUCCUUCUCAGAAGCUGUGUGCAGCAAUGGGCUAUGCAACUGGUUUCACUGGUGCCUGGUGGAACUUUUAAUUCCUCCCUGUCAGCACAUCCCUAGUCCACUUUCAUAGUUUGGAUAAGGACUGGAUAAGCAGCUGAACUUCUGGGGACUUUUCCAAAUGAAAUUCAACCUUUAGACCUUUGGAGGUUUACCCAGUCUUCCUCACUACCCGAAGAUGAGUUUGGAACAAAUUUUCUCUUAAUGGAUUCUAUUUGUGGGUAGGAGAGGUAAUGACUGCCUUGCUCAGAGUCAUGAGCAUAACUUCAAAUAAGGAAAAAGAGCCUCGCAGGAAUGUGAGAAUAGAUGCGAUCCUGAGGAAGGUGUGUCUGAGGAGGUGCUGGGAGGUUCUGAUCGGCUGUUGAAGGCAGAUACUGUAUCUCACGUGACGGAAGUCACCUCCUGACAUCAGAGUUGUGUUUGAGUGGUAAUUUAAAAAAUAAUAUAGCUGACAAGGAAAUAUGGAAGGCAUUACGUUGCAAUACAGUGAAAUGAACAUACAACAUUCAAGAUCAAUUACCGGGUACUGAUUAGCUGGGAGAAAGGCAAUAAAACUUUAAAAAUAGAAUUGGUAGAAAUAGCACCCUGUCAAGGUGGGACUGAUUAUGCCUCCUGCUGGUUUGUUGCGAGGAAUUCUUUUUUUGGGAAAAUCCUGUUGAAUUGUGUGGCUUGUGAAUCUGGCUCUAGAACUGUUAAUGUUAUAAGAAUUGAAAGAGGACUAUUUAAAAAUACCAAGACAUCUUUUAAAAUUCCUAUUUUUAGAACAGCUACUUGUCAUUAAAAUAAAUCAUUCCAUUUCUAUUUGUCCAGGUUACUGCUUUCACAGCAGGGCCAGGGCUAUGGUGAAGUGUAGGAGGUGCCCAGUCCCCUUCACUGUAGUCAUGGCUCUGUUUCAUGCCACAUGUGUUAUUUUAUAAGUGGUUAAGCCCCACAUAGACAUGCAAACAUGGUACAUCUCUAUGUAUUGGUUUUGGUAAUGUUGUAAAUAAUUGGGAGAAUACAUUAAAAUUUGGUAAUAAUGCUCCUUUGGACUCAGUCUCUUUUUUUUUUUUUUAAGACAGAGUUUCGCUCUUGUUUCCCAGGCUGGAGUGCAAUGGCAUGAUCUUGGCUCAUUGCAACCUCUGCCUCCUGGGUUCAAGCAAGUCUCCUGCCUCAGCCUUCCUGAGUAGCUAGGAUUACAGGCAUGUGCCACUAUGCCUGGCUAAUUUUGUAUUUUUAGUAGAAAAGGGGUUUCUCCAUGUUGGUCAGGCUGGUCUUGAAUUCCCGACCUCAGGUGAUUCCAGUUCUAAUUCCCCAACAGAAUUGUCUUGGUUGCAGUGAGAUAUAUAUAUAUAUAAUUUUUUUUUUUUGAGAUGGAGUCUCGCUCUGUCGCCCACGCUGGAGAGCAGUGGCGCGAUCUUGGCUUGCAGUGAGACAUUUUUAUCCAUCCUGAUCACAGCACUUGCCUCCGGGCUCAUGAAGCCCAGCAUGUUACUGCUGUUCUGAACGUCUCUGCUUUUUGAGAGACAUGUUUAAUGAAUUGGGAGUAUCUGUGCACGUUGCAUUCACUUAAAAAGGGAAAAAUACCUUUUAACAGUUAUAGCUACAGAAAUUCAAUUUAGUUUAUUUAGGAGGAAAUGAGAGACUUGAAUUGUAGGUGUGAAAUCUUACAAUCUUUCAGAAUGAUUUGGUUUGGGGGAUGGUUGGAACUGCAUGGAAUUACUUCAGCCAAAAUAAUUUUUGUGAGCACAUUCCCAAGCUCACGAUCAUGUUUUGAUAAGAAAAAUCCCUUUCUCCACAAGUUCUCAGGUCCCACUCAUUGGCCCCUGCCCUCAUUUCUGGAACCUAUGUUAGGCAGUUAUGUGGCUCAGUUCUUGGUGAUAUGUUUUCAAUUUGAGUCAACUUGAUGAGAGAAAAAUUACUAAAAAGUGGGAAUGAGCUGUGAGGUGAACAGGGUUUUCCUAUCAAAGUGGAGGUAUUUUUAAAAGCAUUUAUUAUUUCAAACUCAAACAUUUAUAGAAAGCCAUGAGUGUGAAGUGUAUGAUUACCAGUUGUGGCUUGCUGCAUUGAAAAAUUCAAGUUCAUAGGAAAUAUUUACUGAGGCUCUGGUUUGCAAGCAGUUUGUUCAAGAGAACAAUUUGGUCCAGAAGGCAAGUCAGCUAAAAAAGAGUUUACUAAUAUAGUAGUAACAGGCAAUUAGGAUUCAUAAGCAUCGCCAUGGCUGAGACAUGAUUUAAGGUCUUAGAUGGAAAGAGUUCUGUUAUUAAGAUAACAGAAUUUAAAUGCUGUAUCUGUCUAGGUCUUAUGCAUGCCAGAAGUGAGAAAACUACUCCUUCAUUUUCCAUUUUUAUGAGCUCUGAUGUAACACAGUUGUUUUUUUUUUUUUCUGUGUUGAAAAUGAUGAAUAUAGUUCUUGGCACAUUUGUUCCAUAGUAAAGAAGAAUUUAACUUGCAAGUGAAAAACCUCUGCCUUUGGCCAUGGAUUAAAAAGAUGUUAUAUGAUGAAGUUUACUUCCUAAGGAAAGGUUAGUUUUGUGUGGCACUUUCUGAAAAUUUGUUUGGGACAUAUACAAUUCUUUUGUAUAAAUUCUGGAGGUCUGAGGAAAAUUACUUAAUCCCAGUAGAUGAGAACAUUUCUUUUUGUGUGAAUUGAGUUCUUAUCAAGGUUCUGAUGUUUUUUCUCACGUAUUUGCCCUUGGGUUCAUCUCAAUACAAUGCAUUUGUGUACUAUUGAAUAAAAAGCAGGCUGCAACAGUAUUUAUGACAUAUGAUCCUAUAUACACGUAAAAUCGUGUGUGUGUGUGUGUGUGUGCACAUGUAUAUAAAAAAACUACAUUGUUAAAGUUGUUAAUAGUUAACUCUGGGUGGUGGGUUUUAAGUGAUUAUUAUUUUCUUUGUAUGAGAAAAAUAGUGCACAGUUUUCUUUUGUUGUUAUGAAAGGUGUCAUACAUUUGAAAGAGGACAUAUGCACAGUUUAAAUAAUAAUAACAUAGUGAAUACCCACUGCUUGGCUGAAAAAAAUAAUAUAUUACUCUGUUGUAGAAGGCAAGCCUUCCUUCUGCCCCUGCCUCUGUCAUGGAGGUAGCUACUUGCUUGAAUUUUGUGCUAAUCAUGUCUUUGCUUUCUUAUAUAGUUUAGCCAGCUGUGAAUGUCUCCAUAAAACAUACACAGUUUUCUUUUGAUUGUUUUUGAACUUUAAAUAAAUGAAAUCAUACUGGAU
rnacentral:lncRNA from 1 species